AUCUAAAACGCAACCAUCUCCCUGUCCUUCACCGAGAGCGGUGCUGGCCCCUUUUUUUCCUUCCAUAUUUGAAUAAAGCGAGUUAUCCUCAUUCAUCCGUUGUUAUGAUGUCAUAUUCAAGGAGAUCAAGGUAUUCUCCUUCUCCUUCUCCAUACAGGCGAUUCAGUAGGUCUGUGUCCAGGUCUCUCUCAAGGUCAAGAUCCCGAAGCCGGUCAAGGAGUCUAUCAAGAGACGCCGAAAAUCCUGGAAACAAUUUGUAUGUGACAGGAUUGUCUCCUAGGAUCACCAAGAGAGAACUAGAGAAGCAUUUUGCAACUGAGGGAAAAGUGAUAGAUGUACAUCUGGUAGUUGAUCCUUGGACAAGGGAAUCCCGUGGGUUUGGCUUUGUGACAAUGGAAACUGUUGGAGAGGCUGAUCGAUGUGUAAAGUAUCUGAAUCGCUCUGUACUUGAAGGACGUGUUAUCACUGUGGAGAAGCAGGUUAGCUGUGUGAAGCAGCUCUUCAGCAAACUCUCAAAUCACAACUAAACAAACAAAUCAAAUACAUCAACAAGUAUCAGAUCAUUGGGGUUGUAUGCCCUGCAUUUCUCUCCUUUUUUAUUGCAUUUUAAUCUUAUUUUAUGUUUCUUGAGUUUUAUGGUCCUGAAAGAUCCUUCUCUCACAAUUUGCAGUGUUUAGAUGUUUUUUUUGGGAUAUAUGUAAUGUUUUUAACUUUAUAUUGAUGUUAUUAUUGCUUGCCUACCUGUGCAUGACUAUACCUUUGUAUUCAUGCUGUUUUCUGCAUCUAUUGCAGGCUAAAAGACGACGUGGUCGAACCCCAACACCUGGACGGUAUCUUGGGCUGAGGACUAUUCGAGGUCGUCGCCGUACUCCAAGCCACUCUCCUCGUCGCUCUCCAAGCUAUUCUCCUUACAGAAGAAGCUAUAGUCGGUCACCAUAUUCUUCUGAUCGUAGCAGGAGUCGUUCUUUUUCUCCUGACUUCCGGCGGGGGAGGAGGUCUUACUCUCCAUACCACUACCGCCGGCGGCGGCGGUCUUACUCUCCAUACUAUAGCCGGCACAGGUCUUAUUAUCGAUAUGAUCGACAAAGGUCAUAUUCUCGAUCACCUGUCAGCAUACGGGACAGAUCAUACUCUCCCUAUGACUCAAGAUAUGACUCACCUGAUGAGCGCAGCUACAGAAGGCACCGGUAUAGGUCUGUUUCUCGAAGUGCCUCACCUGAUGAUCGCCACUAUGGAAGGCACCGUUACAGGUCUGUUUCUCGAAGUGCCUCACCUGAUGAUCGCCACUAUGGAAGGCACCGUUACCGGUCUGUUUCUCGAAGUGCCUCUCCUAGGCCAAAGAGAAGGUCAAGGAGGAGCUACUCAAGGAGUGCCUCUCCUGUUUCAAGGAGGGGCUACUCGCGAAGUGUGUCCCCCAGAUCAAGGAGGAGUACUCAUUCAAGAAGCUCCAAAAGAAGUGGCCGUAUUUCAAAACGCUACUCAAGAAGCCCGAGUGUGAGUGUGAGUGCAAGUUCAAGAUCAGUAUCGAGGUCUAAUACUCCAGGAUCUGCUUCUCCUUCAGCUUGAAAUUUGUUGGUCCUCGAUCGGCUUUAACAUCUUAGGCUUAUAGUGAAAACUGGUUUGGUGACACGUAGGUAUAUGUAGUUGUAGAUGGAGUUUUCUUCGUUAGUUCCGUUCAGGGCUUGUCUUGGGACCCCCGAAUGCUAUUUCUUGUAUCAUGGUUGCUGGAAAUACGUCACCGUCAGUGUAGAUGACCUGAUCUCGUAGUUUCUUUUGGUUUGGGUGCAUUUUUAUUUUACUUUGUUCUUUGUCCGCUUUUCUAGACUAUUAUCACUUUGACUUUCUUAAUGUUGAAAAU